UGGGGAAGCUUCCUCUCAGAUAUUUAAAACAAGAAAGUUACUAUAUUUAAUGCACAAAAAUCCACUUCCUAUAGCCAAAAAAUAAUCAACUCCAUAUGCUCCAUUUAUCUGUCCUCGCUAAAACAUCUACAGCAAACUGAAAUGUCACAAGCUGCCUAGAAAGGUUGACCUCAUGUAAUACAUAGGAGAUAAGCUCGAAACCCUGUCUGAGAUUCCCAGAUUACAGAAUUAAUCAGCAACACCUACACAAAGAACAAACUAGUCACAUACCUGAAACCUUUUAGUAUCUCCCUUCUGUGACUGCAAACAUUUUCACUGACACAACAGCCACUUCUCUAUACUUUGCCUCUAACCUUGGCUAUCAGUUCAACUUCCACUUAGGAAACAGCAUCUAUACAAACUGCAAUUCAGGAAUAGCAGCAUGAAUGAUAAGAGAUGGUGGGAAAACAAGCACAGAUAUUCUCCUUGCCCCCAGAUAAAUGUUGGAUGCUGCCUAAAAAUGUUGCAAGUACGUGAUAUGACAACUUUAAUAAAUAAAAGGGUGGUACAGUAGGUUAAAACUGACUUGUGGAAGAGCAAGUUAAAUAAAAAUAAAGCUGUACUGAAAAGUUACUUCUAAGACUAUAAACAUAUACCUCCAUAACAUGGACUACCCAUUUAGGCAUUUAUCUGACUGAUACCACAUGCAGAAUGAGUUUUCCCCAACUAAUACAGAAUCAUCAUAGAAUCAUAGAAUAGUUAGGGUUGGAAAGGACCUGAAGAUCAUCUAAUUCCAACCUGACUGCCAUGGGUUGGGGUGCCUCACACUAGACCACGUCACCCAAGGCUCUGUUCAACCUGCCCUUGAACACGGCCAGGGAUGGACCAUUUACCACUUCUUUUGGAAACCUGUUCUAGUGACACCACCCUCACAGUAAAGAACUAAUAUAAUAUCUAAUAACUAUCUUCCUUAUAUCUAAUAUCUAUCUUCCUUAUAUCUUCCUUAUAUCUAACCUAACAUAUAGUAGGGUUAUAAAAUGCAAGACUAAACCAAAGAUUACUUCAGCCUGAUAAAGGCUCUUGAAGGUAUGCUCCUGAAAUAUUACGUGUUUGUUUUGGGUGGGUCCCAAGCAGAAUCUUUUCAGUUAAAAGGGAAAAAAAAAAAAAAAAAAAAAAAAAAGGAAAAUAAAGACAUUAAA
rnacentral:lncRNA from 1 species